rnacentral:rRNA from 1 species
GACGAACGCUGGCGGCGUGCUUAACACAUGCAAGUCGAACGGAAAGGCCCUGCUUUUGUGGGGUGCUCGAGUGGCGAACGGGUGAGUAACACGUGAGUAACCUGCCCUUGACUUUGGGAUAACUUCAGGAAACUGGGGCUAAUACCGGAUAGGAGCUCCUGCUGCAUGGUGGGGGUUGAAAAGUUUCGGCGGUUGGGGAUGGACUCGCGGCUUAUCAGCUUGUUGGUGGGGUAGUGGCUUACCAAGGCUUUGACGGGUAGCCGGCCUGAGAGGGUGACCGGCCACAUUGGGACUGAGAUACGGCCCAGACUCCUACGGGAGGCAGCAGUGGGGAAUAUUGCACAAUGGGCGGAAGCCUGAUGCAGCAACGCCGCGUGCGGGAUGACGGCCUUUGGGUUGUAAACCGCUUUCGCCUGUGACGAAGCGUGAGUGACGGUAAUGGGUAAAGAAGCACCGGCUAACUACGU